CGCUUAUUUUUGUUAUCAUUCUAGUAAUAUUUUCUCGUUUGCCGAUUCUAGUUGUUUUUAGUUGUUAGUGUCACGGGCGCUUUAUCGUCAACUUGUAUAUUAUCGUUUUUUAUAUUAUAUUUAUUAUGUGCGCAAGAAGUUUGGCCAAUCUUAUUCAUUUUUGUAUUAUUGUUGUGUGUACGCUAAUCGCCACAUUUUCUUAUAUUAUUGUGUGUGCGCUGGUGGCCGGUGUUUUUUUAUAUUAUUUAUAUUAUACCAUAUUACAUAAUAUUUACAUUUUAAUGCGCGAAUUGCCGUAUUGUUUUUUUGAUUAAUUGUAACUUGGCGUUUGUGUGUAGGUAUGUAAUUAUAUUUUACAUAGGAUAGAUAGCAGAUGGCCAGCCGUGCACCGACUAUAUCAUAAUUGGUAAAAUUUGAACAGGACCUUGUGUUUCUGCAAUAUUGAGAGAUGUUGAUGUCAACAACAUGAUGAAUAUAGUGGAUCUAGAUGAGAUUAAAUCUGUUGUUCAUUUUAAUUGGUCUAAUUUUUGUGACAAAGAAUUAUUCUUAAAAUUAGCUGAAGGGAAAGAAGUCAAGUUUGCGUACAAAUUAAAGGUUUUAAUUUUCCAUCAAACUUUACUCAAGAAUAGAUUGAAUCAGUAAUACCAGAUAGCCAUGAAGUUUUUUAUUUUCCUCAUUUCAAAAAAGGUCUUAAAUUAGGUGAUUAUGGCUGUUUCAAUGAAAGUGUCUUAAUCUUGUCACACGCCUACAAAAUAAUUACCAAAAAUGGGUGUGUCACAAUCAAAGUUUAUAUCUGCUCAAGACUAUUGAAUGCCUGAACAAGUUAUGAAAAACCCUGAAUUAAAAAUGAUUUAAUUUCAAAUAAUAGUUGAUUUUACAAAAACAUAUUUUCCUAAGUGAUUUAAGACAAGUCAAUUCAUGAACACGUCAAAUCAGAAGGUGCUGUAAGUUCUAUAGUACAUUUCUGCCAGUAUUAUCAGUAACUUUUCAAAAAUAACUUACCAACACUCAUUUUCACUGCUAUAAUCAAUAUAUAUAUAUCAAACCAAGACAAAGUACAUUAGCUAAUCAUCAACCACUGACUAAGCACAACGGUUCUAAAAUCAAUUCAACCAUAGUGAAAUAUGAACAAUUAAAUAUAUCCGCUAAGUAAAAAAUUGCUUUAGUAUGGAUGCCUAGUCACCGCUACAUUCUUCAAACUACAAUAUGAACAAAGAAUUCGCUACACGGAUCUGAGAGUGACUGAAUAUUACCGAAGAUUAUUGUAUCAAAAUGCUGAAUAGUUUCCGAUGUUGUGACUUCAAAGCUCUAUCGAGAGCUCUUGACAUAAUGGAAAACAGAUAAAAAUAUGAUCUCAAAACCCGGGCACUUCAAUUUAUAAGAACUAGCACAACUAGCUUUAACCAAUAAACUCAAUAUCAAUCAAUGCAUUUAGAUCAAGCUGGACCAACUCAGGUUAUAUGAUUUAAAUUGAUAAAAUGGCUGUAAUAAUAAUUAAAAGUAUAUCUAUAUACAUGGAAAAACUGCGUAAGGUUAUGUCAAAUAAUAUAACAUUUUAUUAUUGUAAAAAAAUUACAUUAUUAAAAUAAGCGGCGUCAGAAAUUUUGGUAUGGAUAGCUGCCCAUCAUGUCCAUACUCCCAUACUCUAGAUUGGAGAAAAAGGUCUUAUUCUAAAACACGAACUGGGUACCUGAUCCAAUACCUCAGACGCAAACUACAGUUUCAACAGGAGAGUCGCUAAAAAAACUUUUUGAUAUGAACAAAACCGGAUAAUAGGAUAUCAACCAGAGAGUAUUGUAGUAUCAUCUCAAUGGCUCACAAACCAUUUAUUGUGAUGAUGUCGAUGACAAUGUAGAAUAAUGAUCUUUCACUGGGUAAAAAUUCAAUAAUUCUUCCAACAAAUUUUCAUCCAAAGAAGAAUUAAUGGACGUGAAGGAAGUAGAAGACAGAGGAAGACUAUUCAUAGGAAUAGCCGGAUGCAACGGGUAUUACCUUAUGAAGACUCUAACAUUAAAGAUAGAAAAAUGGAAAUCUAUUUUUUUGCUAUGACAAGGCUUAACCCUUAGAAAAGAAGAAGAUAUGUAUUAUAUUUCAGUUACGAAUGAAAAGAAAAUCAAAUUUUUUCUGUCAUAUGAAUGUACGAAUAUGGAUAGAAUAAUUCAAUACUAAAG